rnacentral:rRNA from 1 species
GUGUCAGCAGCCGCGGUAAUACAGAGGGUGCAAGCGUUGCUCGGAAUUAUUGGGCGUAAAGGGCAGGUAGGUGGUCUUAUUUGUCUAGGGUGAAAUCCUUGAGCUUAACUCAAGAAGUGCCCCGGAAACGGUAAGACUAGAGUACUGGAGAGGGUCGUGGAAUUCCCGGUGUAGCGGUGAAAUGCGUAGAGAUCGGGAGGAACACCAGCGGCGAAGGCGGCGACCUGGACAGUGACUGACACUCAACUGCGAAAGCGUGGGGAGCAAACAGGAUUAGAAACCCCGGUAGUCC